rnacentral:lncRNA from 1 species
GCCGACAAGAAGCCCUAAUCUUUCUUCCGUCAAUUUCUCUCAAAUCACUGACGGCAAGCUUCAUUUUCCAGUUGCCAAUCAUCAGACGUCCACACUCCAGUGCUAAAGUAAGUAUAUUUCCUUAUUUUCUGUACCUAUUUCUCCCAGUCUAUCUCUAACAUAACAAAUAUGGAGGGUAAAAUCCUAUACAUUUUUUCUUUGCUUCUCAUUUUUGGCUUGACUCUUCAGGCUUGAGAACUCGUCUAGCCUUGCCCUCGUCCACAAAACUGUAGGAAUCAUUGAAACUUGAACUGCGUCAGCCGUCAUGUCCUGUUAUAGAAUAUCAAAUGUUCAUCAGUUUUGUGUGGCAAGAAUCUGUAUUCCAAGUAUGAACGAACUUGUAGGCAGUAGCUAAACAUUUGUGUGCUUGCAUUAACUGUUUAUUCGAAGUAUAAAUGUGUAUAUUACAUCACAUGUAGAACAAUAUGUACAAUACCUAUGUAGAAAAAUAUUGCAUGUACAUUCAGCAUUUAAAAUAGAACUUUAGGCUUAAUCUGCCUUGGAUAAAACUUUAGGCUUUAGCCAUUAUUCACUACAUAUUAACUUUAGGCUUUUCUCACUAAUUUUUUUCUUUUUGUGUUGGAACUAAUGCAGUUGAAGAUCUUCUGGAAAUUGGAGUUAGAAUAACUUGCACUGUCCUUAAGUAAUGGACUCAAGUGCAAUAUUCUUCCUUCCUUGUAUUGCAUUAAUAAUUGUAAUUUAAUAAAUGCAUUUUGGUGUAUUCAUAAUUUUUGUGGAAUAUGUUGGUAAAUAUAUAUAAAAGGUAAAAAACAGAUUGACCUUCACUCACACAAGGAUUUGACAGGUAAAGCUAAACAGGAGAAACUUAUUUGCAUUUGUUUUUUCCUAUCUUCUUGUUGAUUCAUUUAUGAAUGACACAUGAAACUGCAGUGUGUAACAGGCUCUUGUGUUUUUGUUAGCGCUUGUUGUGACGACUAUCAAGAGAACAGUUUGUAUUUUUUAUUGGGAUUUGUCUGGAGAUUGAAGACAGUUUCCAAUGUUGCUGGCAUUUCCUGAAUUGCUUCUGAAAUGCAAAGUUUCUGAUGAAUCAUUGUGAUUGUGCAGCUGGUACUAGUUUACUAUAUUAUUUUUCAAGUGUUUUGACAAUGGAUGACUGGAUUAAUUGUAUUUGGGUGAAUUUUUACUUGAAUGGUUGUUCCCUGUAUUAAAUAUUAAUCAUAUUUCGAUUAUUUGGAUGAC